GUGUCAGAAAGCAACCACAAUGAUAAUAACUCUGUUUCUUACAAUGGAUUCAAAUGUAUGGCUUUGCAUACAUACAGUACAGUUUUCUAACAGGAUUGCUCCACCUUAGAAGGCAUGGGCUAUAUUGUAUUUCUACAUCCAGGGUAGGACUUUGUAUCUGGAAAAACUACACUUUAAUGGAAUAGAAAUGACCCAACUUGAUUAGUUUCAGUGGAAUAUGAUAUUCAUUGCUUGAUCCACAUUCUGGCUGACGGAAACCAUUCACCUGCCUGGUAGCACUGGAAUGCCAGAUACAGGAAUCCACUUGGGCAGAAGAUACUGUGUGGUUCCCUGCCAACUGGGAAUGAGGCAAAGCCAUUUGUGUCCUAUCUGGGUAUGCCCGGGUUUCUUACAUCCUCACAGUAGCUUAAGGUGGCUAUCUAUUCUGGAUUAUUUUUGGUGCAUAGGUCCCAUAUAUCCCCAAACUUGAUCCAACCUCAUGCUAAACCUGUCCUUAUUAACUAUGUGAUACGACUAACAGAACAAUCAGUUAUAACAACCCCUUCCCUCCAAAAUUUACAGAGAGUAUGUAUUUAUUCACUUACUUAUUUUGUUGCAUGCCACCUUUCCCUCAGAAUUGUAAGAAAGAUAACCAAAAGUAAUUGACUGUUAGUGUGGUGGUGAAAUCUCCUUAAACCAAGACUUCACUGGCUCCCGUCCUCUGUUUCCUGCCAGCCAACUGACUGACUGUUAUUCUGUUCCAUACCAGAACCCAGGAAGUACGCAUGGGCUUUUGAAAACAAAAUCAGUGCUAGUAUCCGGACCAUGACACCUAUCCUAGAUUUGCUUACCACUGCAGUCACCCAGAGAGUCAGGGACAUAUUUUUCCAAAAUACUCCCAUUAAAUUAUAAGGUUACACAUAGGACUUCAUCACAUGCAAGAUUCUCUCCCUUCCAAUUUCCACACACUUCUAAAAUAGUUCAUAGUUCACGCAACACAGAUUCCAUAAUACGAUGCAAUGGGACCUCUGCCUCUCACCCAUGCUGUGUUGUUUGUGAAUUGUCUCUGAAGUGUAGGGAAACCGGAGAAGGUUUAGAAAGCAGGGAAAAACAUGUAGGUUGGGAUCUGUCAAAUUUGCUCAUGUUGAAUUGCUUCAGUGAUAUGAAGCAAUGGGCGUUCCUAUUAGCACUGAUGCUCCAUUUCUCUCCCCAAAUCCUGCUUCAUAAGGCUGGCAUGGCAAUUUUUUUAAAUUAAUUUAGUCAUUAUGAAUAUCACAAUUUCAAGAUAUAUGUAUAAGCCUUCGACAAUACAUAUCACCACUUUGUUUUUCUUCAUAGUAACUUUGGUUUUCAAAAUUGUGCUACUGCUAGCUUUUUGACUUUGUGUCCCCCCCCCCUUUUUACCAACUACAGUAAGUUCUAGUGCCCAGUAAGUUUUGGACUUCCACAGUAAGGAGAUUGGGAGGGAAAGGAAAGGAGCCUAUAGAAAGAAAUGGUGUCUGUCUUAAGAAUGAUGCCUUCUGUCUCCUUGAGAGAAAAGAGAUGGAGAGGGAAAGUAAAGGUGCCCAUAAAACUGAUGUCUGCCUUAAGAAUGAUGCAUUGUGCCUCCUUCAGAGUAAAGGAGCUUGAGAAGGAAAGUAAAGGAGCCAAGAGAAGUGGUAUCUGCCUUAAGAGCAAUGUCUUGUAUCUUCUUUAUGGAUGGUUGAGCUAGAGGAGGAAGGAGGCAAUCCUGUGUGAUGUGGGUAAGUAAAUUCCCCAUUUUCUUUAAAGACAGAAUCCCUGUUAGAUCCCAGCCAGCCAGGGCACCAGGGCCUGCAGUGUUUCAGGACUUGCACUUUGACACAGAUAAUGCUGAGGAUUAUACUGACAUUUCACCCUCCACAGAGGGGCCUUUGGAGCUGCAGGUGCCCAAAGAUAUUGGCUCUGGAGACUUACUAAUUGUGGAAGGUUCUUCAAUUCCUCCCUCACAGAUAGAGCCAGAUGUUGCUGAGAUGCCUAGGAACGGGGUUUUUAAUCAUAGAGAUUUUGUAACCAGAGAGAGGAGUGCAAAACAAGUCGGGCCGUGCCGUGCCACGACUCUCAAGUAGACCUUGACUUUACUUCAGUUGUUAUUCCUUGUUCCUGUUUCAAGUUUGCCUCAGCCUGGACAACCUUGCUGCCUUGAUUGCUAUGAAGUAUUUCCAGUGGAUUGAACUCUGUUUCUGCCAGCCUUGUUUCUCUGUUUCAACUCAUGGACACUUUGAUUUCUUUGGAGAGCUAGCGAGUUCUCAUUGUGGAUUAUAAUAUCGGACCUUUCCUUUUACCCAAUUGGAACCACCAUUGACUUUCUAAAAAGGACUAUUCCUUACUCAGACUCUAUACCUAACUUCCUUUGGAUUUAUAAUUGCUUUAAUAAAGAUAUAGUGUGAUAUAUUGGCUCUUGUCUGGUUUUUGAGUGCUCAUGCUGCCUUGGGGUGCAACAAUCCCACACAAAGUAAAUGAUUUUCCCCACUUUCCCCUGUUUCUCCCUAUUUCCCCCAACUCUGUCUAUUGAAGUCCAUAGAUCUGAAGCCAUGCAGCCUUUCUCUCCUGAAUAUUCAUUUUGGAUACAUUGCAUCCCACUAGCUGCAGCAAUCUAGAGAAUGUGGGUUUCUGUUCAUUCUGGGGCUUGUUUAAAAACUCAGAUUUGAUUCUAAGUACGUUUGAAAUUCAAGGGAAACAGAUGUAAAUAAAUACUAUAAAAUUGUUGCUCAUCUCUAUUUUCAUAUACUGUACACAGUUGGGAACCUGGCUCAUAGAAAAUAGCCUCAAAAUGUGUUUGUAUCCCUGACUGGAAUCUUGCUAGUGUUUUAUGACAGUGAAAGUUAGACUUGGGUCAUCACAAGUCACCUUUCUAUCAUUGCAGACCUUGGAAUUCUCUAAUAGUCACACAGUGAUUAAAAUCCCCAAGACCACUGUACCCACCUCCUAAACAUGGCCUGUUCCUAGUUAGUGGAAAGCAUGAGGAGCAGCAAGCAACUGCCAACCUAGUUUUCUAUAGCCAGACAUAAAGCAAAGGCAUUAUCUGCAGGGGCUUACUUGUAGAUCUUAAGGCUCCUAUACUGCUUGUUUUAUUUUGGUUUUUAAGAUGUUGCAUUGUUCUUUCUUCUUCUUUACUAUUUGGUUUGCCAUGUGAUAUAUCUAUUUAUUGUUUCAUUGUGUUACAUUUCAUAGAAUCAUAGAGUUGGAAGAGACCUCACGGGCCAUCCAGUCAAACCCCCUGCAAGAAGCAGGAAAAUCUCACUCAAGAUCCCCCGACAGAUGGCCACUACAUUGCCAAGAUAACUUGAUCCUUUAGUAGUCUAAAAGUGCAAACAAUCAGCUGGCAUCUAAUGAUUUGGAAAGAAAGCUUAACAAAUCUCUCACAAACUUGAAUUCUACAGUAGCCACUGCCAAGAGGACUCUGCGCUUGUAGACAUUAGCCACUCAUAGGACACUUUGGAGGAUAUUCCCUAAAGUAUGAGACUUGGCUCAUAUAGGCAAAGCCAAUGUCUUUGUCAAAUAGCACACAGAUAUCAAUUAGUUUCUCUUUUGAUUCCUUUGCUGCAUGUUUUCCUCUCUUUUUACAUUUUUUAAGAUGUGAAUAUGUUGUUGUUAUUAUUCAGCCAUGUUUCCAACUACCCUAGUGUUAAUGACUUCAUUCUCAGUGUGUGAAGACCAUUGUGAAUGUUAAGCACAUGGUUCUUCCCCAGAGAUAUAACCAACGAAACCCUUACUGUCCCUAUAUGGCAUAUGAUUCUCCAGGUGAGCACCAUAUGCUCAGCUUCCACAGUUUCAUUUAAGAAGCACUAAACUUCAGUUAAAGCUAUCUCACCACUUGCUGUUUCCUGUAAGGUUGACAGAGCAUCCAUCUGCACUCUCUCAAGGUCUGAGUUAACUCUGGGCUGACCAUCGUUUUUAUUUGUACAUGGUAUUUAUUGCUGCUCUCCCUCUUAGAUGCCUAGAACAACUUUAUCUGAUGCACAGCCAGAGACAUUCCAGCUUUGGAUUUCUAAAAUUCUAGGACUUGGGCAGAACAUGGAAUGACAUCUGGGACAGGCAAAGGUAUAUAGAAUUCUGGUUGGCCCAAGACAGUUUGCCAUCUGAAAUGGGCUAUUAAAUAGCACUUCUCUUCUGUCCCUACAUUAUAGCUGGGACCAACCUAAGACAUUUCAUUGUCUGACAUACGUCCCAGCACUCCUAAUGUAUCCAAGUCAAGGCACAUAAGGCUUCGUCAAAUGAAAGAGGCAAACCAGCAUUGAAACAAUACUGUCACUUUUGGUUUGUCUCCUCUUCAAGAUAAAUACAUUCCCUGCUAUUGACAGGAAAACUCUUCAAUAGCUACCAAUCCCUGAAUGCUUCUGUCACCUACCUAGUGACAUGGGUUCAUUUUGCUUCUGUGAUAUCAUAGAGUGGGAUUCUGUCCCUCUCUUCUCUCCGCCUCACUAUUCCCAAGGCAGCAAUUUUUGAUUUAAAGUUUUAUUUGCAUUUUUUAAAUUAAGCAUACCUGGAAUUUCACAAUUGCUUUAAAACUGGUUAAAAUUAUGGAGCAACAGAAAUGCGAGAAGGCGAGAUUACAAGAUUAUAUGGAAAUACUUUUUUUAAUAUUUAUUUAUUUAUUUAAAACAUUUAUAUUUCACUCUCCUCACCCUGAAGGGGGCUCAGGGCAGAGCCCAACAUAUAUACGGCAAACAUUCAAUUUCGGAACAUAAAAUAAACCAUAAAUAUACAUAAACACUAAAAUCAGUUAUCUUCACAUUAAAACCAUCAUUUAAAACCAUCACAAGUCUAGUAGGAUAGAAGUGUGGGUCCAUGGACUGGCAAAUCAGCACAGUUGUGUAAAUCAAGCAAUAUUCAGUAGCAAAGAUGCUCAUACUGGUAUCUUGCUGCUAUCAGUGAUUGCGCAAAUGCCGUGAAAUAGUACUUUCAUUCAGUAAAAUCCAUAGUACCAGGCAUGUUAUUUUGGCACGUAAAAUGUCUCUAUAUACCUUGCAGUAAGAGCUGUAGAGUAACAAACUAACUUAGAUAACAAUUUGCUUCCUUUUCAUUGAUGCUUGAACCCACUACCACACUACCUCGAAUAGUAAAUCCAGCCAGAUUGAACUGAAGAUAUGCCUCUCAACUGAAGAGUAAAUAUAUAUAUUUUGUUCUGUAUUCAUAAUUACUUCCCUUCAUCCUGAUUGUGACACUAUUGGCAUAAUCAUAAGUCUCCCCCUGCUCCUCCCCUAAAAUCCACAUACUGUACUUUACUGGGAAUCUUCUUCAUAGAGACAAGGAUAUCCAUUUUGCCAAGGCUUGAAACAUGGAUGAAUAACAUUUCUGUUAGAUUUAAAAGGAUCAGGACAUGACUGUUUGUUUACUUAGUUAAGUAACUAAAUAGUUGACACAGGAAUAUGGCCCAUGAUUCUAAAUUUCACUUUGAGCAUUUGUCAAAAUAAUUCAUAGAAAAACUUCAGUGCACCAACUAUGUACACAUGCUUGCAUGCAAGUACAAAAAAGGCAACUGGCCAGGACAGAAAAAAAGAAACCAGCCAGACCAGAUUUCCUUUUUAUUUUUUCUGGCAAGUUGGCAAUUAUGAUAAACCAGGAUGUUUAUAGGAGAAAAGCUGCCCUGCUUCAGUAGAACAAUUGUAUCACGUACUUUCAGUGUAUUCUCUGAAUAUUGGGCCUUGAGUAAAGUCAGUAACUUAGAACAGGGACUCUUUCCAUGAAACAGGUGCAAACCUUAUAUUCCCUCUUUAGUUUCCUUUCUCUUAUUUUAUGCCUUAAAUCAAGAAACAGUUUUCUAAGAUCUACAGAGAUACUCGUAGAAACACCACAGGAAGCAAAAGUCCAAAAGUGGCAGGUUAGAACCUGUAACCUCAAGCAGUGGCUGAGACCAAAUGAGAAACUCCCUCCUGGGCACACAGAAGACUGAGCAACUUGGAAGGUGCUGAACGGACUGUGUUCUGGCACCACGAGAUGCAGAGCCAAUCUUAAGAAAUGGGCUACAAAGUGGAGUCCACGACAUGUGAGUGUGGAGAAGAGCAAAUCACAGACCACCUACUGCAAUGUAGUCCGAGUCCUGCCACAAGCACAAUGGAGGACCUUCUUAUAGCAAUACAAUAGGAACUCCAAGUGGCCAGCUACUAGUCAAAGGACAUUUAGUAUAAUGUAAACUUUUUAACUUUGUGUUUUUAAAUACAUUACAACUGUACCCUCGGUUUCACUUCUGAUAUGAUAAAUAAAUAAAUAUAUACAUAAAUAAAUUUUACAUUUUUCCUGUUCAUUGUUUAUUUUUCUCAUUCCAGAUUAGGGUCAUUUUCCAAUGCAAUCAAAAAGUGUGUGCAAACUUUUGUGUGCAUAUAUUUUGCAAGAGAAGUGGACUGUAGCAAUCAUCGGGUUUUCAAAAGGGGCCAUAAACCAGAAGAGGAACAGUGAUCUUGCCUCCCUCCCUCCUCCUUUCUUAUCUUCCUCUGUAUUUAUUCUUUGCAGCAUCAGAAACACUGAGGUGCGAUUGCAGCAGUGCCAGCUCUGUUUCUUUCUGGUAAAUGGACUUCCUCUGGGGGAUGGAAUCUUUUGCACAGUGACCACUCAACCAACCUCUUGCUACAUUGACUUCCUUCCUAUGAAGAAAAAGAAAAGAAGAAAAAGUUUCAUCACAGAAAGCUACCACCAAAGUUUAUCCAUACCUCACAACCUCUGAGGAUGCCUGCCAUAGAUGUGGGCGAAACGUCAGGAGAGAAUACUUCUGGAACAUGACCACACAGCCCGAAAGACAUACAACAACCCUGUGAUCCCGGCCAUGAAAGCCUUCGGCAACACAUUUUUUAUUUUUUAUUUCACACAAAGGGAAAAGAAAACAAACAAAAAAGAGGAUAGGGGUAGUGGAGUACUUGUGAGUAAAUUUGAUCUUUAGAAAUGUCUAUUAUAUUGCUGAGGGGGUGAGAGCGGGUUGUGGGAAGAGAAGUUUUGUAUUUGUUGUAAUUAUUACAUCUAUUUCUUCAUAUUAGUUACUAUUAUACACACUAUCUAAAAUAUUAAAAAUUUCAUAUCCUCUAUAACAAAAAAGAGCAUAGUCUUAUCAUCCUAAGUUAAAACUGGUAGGCAUGUCUUCUUUUGUUGUCCUAUGUUCUUCCUGUCUUCUCUUCCAGAUCUUUACAUUAAGAGUUCAUCUUAAUUAUUCUUAUCAGUUUAUUUAUUUAAUAUCUUUUAUCUAAUUUUAAUUAUUGCUAUAUACAUCUAAAUUUUAAUUUCCUUUGUUAGUAAAAUUAGUAUGGUGCAGGUAAAGGUUUACUAUGUUACACUGUCAUCCUUUCUCUUUCUUUUGAACACUACACAAAGUGUGUGUGUGUGUGUGUGUAUGUAUGUGUGUGUAUAUAUAUAUAAACAAAGUUUGUAAACAUUUCUAUUCUAAUUAAACAUGUCA